rnacentral:rRNA from 1 species
GAUGAACGCUGGCGGCGUGCCUAAUACAUGCAAGUCGAGCGAACAGACGAGGAGCUUGCUCCUCUGACGUUAGCGGCGGACGGGUGAGUAACACGUGGAUAACCUACCUAUAAGACUGGGAUAACUUCGGGAAACCGGAGCUAAUACCGGAUAAUAUAUUGAACCGCAUGGUUCAAUAGUGAAAGACGGUUUUGCUGUCACUUAUAGAUGGAUCCGCGCCGCAUUAGCUAGUUGGUAAGGUAACGGCUUACCAAGGCAACGAUGCGUAGCCGACCUGAGAGGGGAUCCGGCCCCCUGGGAACGGAGACACGUUCCAGACUCCAACGGGGGGCAGCGGUAGGAAAUCUUCCGCAAUGGGCGAAAGCCUGACGGAGCAACGCCGCGUGGGUGAUGAAGGUCUUCGGAUCGUAAAACUCUGUAUUAGGGAAGAACAAAUGUGUAAGUAACUAUGCACGUCUUGACGGUACCUAAUCAGAAAGCCACGGCUAACUACGUG